UACGGGGGGGGCAAGCGUUGUUCGGAAUUACUGGGCGUAAAGGGCUCGUAGGCGGCCAACUAAGUCCGACGUGAAAUCCCCAGGCUUAACCUGGGAACUGCGUCGGAUACUGGAUGACUUGAAUUCGGGAGAGGGAUGCAGAAUUCCAGGUGUAGCGGUGAAAUGCGUAGAUAUCUGGAGGAACACCCGUGGCGAAGGCGGCUCUCUGGGACGGUACUGACGCUGAGACGCGAAAGCGUGGGGAGCGAACAGG
rnacentral:rRNA from 1 species